ensembl:lncRNA
CUAUUCGGCGGUCGCCGCGGUUCUAACCUCCUUGCUCUCCCUCGUAAAUGACAAGGCACCUCUAACCUACGGCUUUGUGUCUUGUUUUUUUUCCCCUGUGUGAAUUUCAAAGCAAAAGCGAGCGGUGAAUACCUUUCAGUGGCCGGUACGCGUCGGGGUCGCCCUCUUCGCACUUAAAGACGCUGGUCCAUGCGAGGGCCAAUGCAGAUUUCGGUGGCCGAGGGGUGGAACUCGGAGCAGGCAGGGCAGAACCUUCGACCCUGAGGGACCUCCGGGCUAGCUUUGGAGUAGGCGAGACAGACAGAAACGGAGCGAGGGAGGGAGAGAGAGGGAGAGAGAACAGGAGCAAGCCUCGAUCUGGGAGAGGGGGAGUCUCGACCGCAGUGUAGUGAGAAGGGACUGCCACUGGGGUCAGAGAGCACGUUCUAGAGCACAGCCCCGCUUAGGCAUGGCGGCGUGUAUAGGGUUUGAAUAUGUAGCCUACCCCACUGUACACUGUCUGUAUGCAGGGAGGAACAGCCAUGAUAGACGCGGCGGCGCUUCCAUGUGGUGAAUUUCCAUGCUGCCGUUGUAUUUCGCGCUCUUAGAAUGUCCUUAUUAAGCUACCGAUUGAGUAUUGGGCACAAUUGUGGUGGGCUAGAUCAAAGUGCUAACUGGAUAGUGGUCUUGGACACUGAAAAGUUAAAUGGAGACCAUCAUCAUGGCGCUCACCCCCACCACAUCGCUCCUGGAGUCAUUUCCAUUUGACUUUUCUCUUAUCUCCAG